GGUCUGAUAAGCGGGUUGUGAAAGCCCCGGGCUCAACCUGGGAACGGCAAUCCGAACUGUCAGGCUAGAGUGCAGCAGAGGGCAGUGGAAUCCCCGGUUGUUAGCGGUGAAAUGCGUAAAUAUCGGGAGGAACACCAGUGGCGAAGGCGACUGCCUGGGCUGACACUGACGCUGAGGUGCGAAAGCGUGGGUAGCAAACAGGAUUAGAUACCCUGGUAGUCCACGCUGUAAACGCUGAGAACUAGUCGUUGGGGCUAUUAGAGCCUUAGUGACGCAGCUAACGCGAUAAGUUCUCCCGCCUGGGGAGUACGGCCGCAAGGUUAAAAACUCAAAUGAAUUGACGGGGGCCCGCACAAGCGGUGGAGCAUGUGGUUUAAUUCGACGCAACGCGAAAAACCUUACCUGGUCUUGACAUCCUGCGAACUUGCUAGAGAUAGCUUGGUGCCUUCGGGAGCGCAGUGACAGGUGCUGCAUGGCCGUCGUCAGCUCGUGUCGUGAGAUGUUGGGUUAAGUCCCGUAACGAGCGCAACCCUUGUCCUUAGUUGCCAGCGGUCCGGCCGGGAACUCUAGGGAGACUGCCGGUGACAAACCGGAGG
rnacentral:rRNA from 1 species